ensembl:lncRNA
GAGAGUGCGUGCGUGCGCGUGCUGUCUGAUUGAGAGAAAAUAAUUCAUCUUCAUCCUAUCUUCAUGAUCCAGUAACACCUGGAAAAAGACACCUGUCCUCUCAACAUGUGGAUCUAGCAGCAUUUUCUUUAAAGGAUUGCUUCUGCUUUGGAUUUCUUUCACUGCUUUGAAUCAGAGUUUUCAGUGGAUAGUGAGGUUUGAAAUACCCGAGGGGAGGAUUUUGUUCCUAAACUUUCACUUGGGAGAAGAAGACUUCUGUAAUAUGAUCCUCUGAUCCAGGGAUAGACUGAGUCCCACUUUCAACACUCUUCCCUUCAGUCUGAAUGCAGUAUGUGUACCUUGUGCAGGCAGCGCAUAUUAUAACUGCGUGAAAAUCAGCAAUAGGGUUAUUAAAGGUUCCAGAGGGUUCUUGUUUCAAAUCCCAGUGACUGCUAGAUGCUUGCAUUGGAUUCUGCUUCACAUGAAAGUAAGUUAUAAAACAUCUGCCAAAAAAAUACAUGUAAAUGAACAGUCUUUAUAUAUUUCUCAGCUAGGAACAUUUGCAGAAUAGUAUUGUAGUACUGCUAUAAGGGUAUUAUAUGUAAGGGUAGUAUUGUAGUACUGUUAUAAGGGUAUUAUAUAUAAGGGUAGUAUUGUUGUACUGUUAUAAGGGUAUUAUAUGUAAGGGUAUUAUUGUAGUACUGUUAUAAGGGUAUUAUAUGUAAGGGUAG